rnacentral:rRNA from 1 species
CUACGGGAGGCAGCAGUCGAGGAUCUUCGGCAAUGGGCGCAAGCCUGACCGAGCGACGCCGCGUGUGCGAUGAAGGCCUUCGGGUUGUAAAGCACUGUCGAGGGGGAGGAAGCCGCAAGGUUGACCUAUCCCUGGAGGAAGCACGGGCUAAGUUCGUGCCAGCAGCCGCGGUAAGACGAACCGUGCGAACGUUGUUCGGAAUCACUGGGCUUAAAGGGCGCGUAGGCGGGUUCACAAGUCUGUGGUGAAAUCCUCCAGCUUAACUGGAGAAGUGCCGUGGAUACUGUGAGUCUCGAGGAGGGUAGGGGCAUCUGGAACUGCCGGUGGAGCGGUGAAAUGCGUUGAUAUCGGCAGGAACUCCGGUGGCGAAGGCGAGAUGCUGGAUCCUUUCUGACGCUGAGGCGCGAAAGCCAGGGGAGCAAACGGGAUUAGAAACCCGAGUAGUCC